rnacentral:rRNA from 1 species
UACGGAGGGUGCAAGCGUUAUCCGGAUUCACUGGGUUUAAAGGGUGCGUAGGCGGGCAGGUAAGUCCGUGGUGAAAUCUCUGAGCUUAACUCAGAAACUGCCAUGGAUACUAUUUGUCUUGAAUAUUGUGGAGGUAAGCGGAAUAUGUCAUGUAGCGGUGAAAAUGCUUAGAUAUACAUAGAACACCAAUUGCGAAGGCAGCUUACUACACAGUUAUUGACGCUGAGGCACGAAAGCGUGGGGAUCAAACAGG